GCGCGAAAACUUUACAAUGCGGGCAACCGUGAUAAGGGAACCUCGAGUGCCUGUAUAUGCAGGCUGUCCAGGUGUCUAAAACACACCUGAAGAAAGGGCCGGGCAAGACCGGUGCCAGCCGCCGCGGUAAUACCGGCGGCUCGAGUGGUGGCCACUUUUAUUGGGCUUAAAGCGUUCGUAGCUGGGUCGUUAAGUCUCUUGGGAAAUCCGGCAGCUCAACUGUCGGGCGUCUAAGAGAUACUGGCGAUCUUGGAACCGGGAGAGGUGAGGGGUACUUCGGGGGUAGGAGUGAAAUCCUGUAAUCCUCGAGGGACCACCUGUGGCGAAGGCGCCUCACCAGAACGGCUUCGACAGUGAGGGACGAAAGCUGGGGGAGCAAACCGG
rnacentral:rRNA from 1 species